CGACGGGAUAGUUUGGCACCUCGAUGUUGGAUUAUCGCAUCCUGGAACUGUAAGCGGUUCCAAGGGUUUGGCUGUUCGCCAAGAAAGGCGGUACAUGAUCUGAGUUUAGAACGUCGUGAGACAGUUUGGCCCCUAUCUACCGCAGGCGUAAAAAAAUUGAAAGGAUUAAACCUUAGUACGAGAGGACCAGGAAAAGUGAAUCUCUGGUGUAUCGGUUGUUAUACCAAUAGCAUAGCCGAGUAGCUAUAAUUCAUAAUAGAUAAUCGCUGAAAGCAUCUAAGCGAGAAACUAACCUUGAGAUUAAUUUUUUAAAAGAACGUAGUAGAUUAUUACGCAAUAGGCUUAGUGUGUAAGAAUUGCAAAAUUUUUAGCUAAUAAGUACUAAAA
rnacentral:rRNA from 1 species